AUGGGGAGGCUGAUUUUUGACAGGUCAAGGAGGGGGAAAUACGUAGGAGUCUUCUACUUGAAUGAAUUUUUGGGAAGAAAACACAGUAUGUAUGAAGCUGAAAUCAUGAUGGAACCAAAAUGGAAUAUUUAUAUGCUUUUUUUCUUUUCUUUAAACCAGCAUAGAACACAUGGCUUCACCAAAACCAGUGUCUUGCAUUUCUUCAUCGCGGAACUGACUUCAGAGGAAAGCAGUUCAGAUCCUUGUCUCCAGUCUGGAGCUGUCCUCUGGCCAGGCUCCUUGCAGGAUGACAUCUCUCAGCAAGACUUCUCCCUACAAAGAUAUGAUUCUAACAAUUUCGACCAGACUGUCUUGGGGCCCUACCUCUCAGGAACUGAGUGCUGGAAAACUUCCACUGGAAAAAAAAAAAAAACAAAAAACAAAAAAACACACACUCUUUUAAAAGAGAGGAUAUCAGAAGUAUACAUCUUUUAUCCAUGCCCCACACACUUGCAUGUGAAGAGAGAGCACCAGCUGUUUUUCUCAUGGUGAAUAAGGGUUACUUGGGGAAAUCUGACUUCCUGUUUUUACAUGGACAGCUACAUUGUUGCAAAGCCAGUUCAUUUUGGUUAGGUCAAUAGAGCAAGUUUAAUUAUUGGAGGUUUCCUUAUUCACUCAAGCUUCAUACUGUAGAGAAGAAAGAGGGAUUACUAAGAAGUCCAAACUGUGCACAGAGGUUGAAAAGCUCAUCCCUGUUAAUUACGUGACCCUUCUCAAACAUACAAAACAUUUUUGGGGAAAAGUUGGGAUUUACUGAAUUUUGAACUGCCGACUAAGUGUGCCUCAUAGCUCAAAAUAUAUUGAAUAAAAAUCGUAUGGAGAUUUUUUUCCA
rnacentral:lncRNA from 1 species